UAAAUGGUGGACGAGUACUGUGGAU
rnacentral:piRNA from 1 species